GACGUAGGGCGCGAGCGUUGUCCGGAUUAUUGGCGUAAAGAGCUCGUAGGCGGCUUGUCGCGUCGUUCGUGAAACCUGCAGCUCAACUGCAGGCUUGCGGUCGAUACGGGCAGGCUAGAGUCGGUAGGGGAGACUGGAAUUCCUGGUGGUAGCGGUGGAAAUGCGCAGAUAUCAGGAGGAACACCGGUGGCGAAGGCGGGUCUCCUGGGCCGAUACUGACGCUGAGGAGCGAAAGCGUGGGGAGCGAACAGG
rnacentral:rRNA from 1 species